GGAUUAGGAGAAUAAUGGUAAUGUACGAGUUUCUUCAUAACUCGCAAUAAAAGUUCAAUCCUUUUCUAAGGCA
rnacentral:tRNA from 1 species